rnacentral:rRNA from 1 species
UACGUAGGAGGCAAGCGUUGUCCGGAUUUAUUGGGCGUAAAGAGCGUGUAGGCGGCCAUGCAGGUCCGUUGUGAAAACUCGAGGCUCAACCUCGAGACGCCGAUGGAAACCGCAUGGCUAGAGUCCGGAAGAGGAGAGUGGAAUUCCUGGUGUAGCGGUGAAAUGCGCAGAUAUCAGGAAGAACACCCGUGGCUAAGGCGGCUCUCUAGUACGGUACUGACGCUGAGACGCGAAAGCGUGGGGAGCGAACAGG